AAAAUAAAAUUUUUUACACUCGAACACAUGGAAAUUGCAAUAAAAAUGUGGCGUUUGCGUUUAUUAUUUGAUACCGACAUCUAUCUACACAGUAUUGGAAACCGAAUUUUGCUUGAAAUCCUGCGUCUUUCAAUCCCCGGGCUCAUCCAAUCUUCUGCUCGGCGAAAUCCGUGAUCUGAAAAGCGCAACACGGACGAAAGAGAGAGAGACGAAGAGGAGCGCUGAGGCUGCACCCUCGUAAAGUAACGAAAACGUCAAAGUGUUACCGUGCUGCAUAAUUUCCGAUGAGUUACGAGACACGCGCCCAUACUACGGUUCGCUGGCCCGUUGCAUUUGGCAUAUAAAGUAGAAAUUAAUAUGACGCGAGUCCCGAUGAAAUUUCGAAGAAAAAUUCGCAUCCGGACGCAAAGGGAGAUCGAAAAAGGCGGACGACCGCGCGUCAUUAUUAUCUCCCCGAGACCAAAUCACCUUGCACUCGACAACGACAAAAAACUGCAUGCCUGUAUGCGUGUGGGUAAAAGAGGGCGGGAACGUAUAAAUAUCGUUUUACCGUAUCUCCGUAGCAAUUAGCGCCGCUAUCGCGGCAUUUCGGUAUAAAAAGUUGGGUGGAAUGAAGACACCGAUCGAGUCAUUAUCGCACACGUCGCGCAAUCGUAACGAGAGACGUGCUCGAGUUAACGCAGGUAGAUUAUUCUACCAGUAAGUGGACUAUACUUUGCUGUCGAGAUCUUCGUCAUGCAACACGAUUUUAUUCAAGGAAACCUUUUUUCUACUCAAGACAGAGAAAAAAAUACUCUCCUGUAUGCGAAUUGCGUAUCUGUUCGUAAAUAAGAAUUCCGUCGCCUCGCGCGAGUCCUGCUCCUCCACCCGAUCUCGACUUGGCUUCCGUUACCACACCGACAGGACCUCUUCUGCGUUCUCCCGACGAUUACCAUCUGUAACGGCGUAUUUCGGGAUCCCCGUGUCACGGGGUCCUGACAAAUUAGCGUCCUUAACGAAACGCUCCCGUCGCGUCUCAGAGAUCUCAUCUCGCCGCGCGGAGUUUCCCGUUUCGCGAGAGUCAUGCAUUUUAAUGACAUACCGUGAAGAACUUCAACUUUACAAACACGCUAAAAAAGGGAAGAUACAAACUCGCAAACUUAACUCUUGACUCGUGGAACAGCCUCUGUGCCCCGCCGAUCGAUUUCCAUUCAUUUGUUCGCUAGUUAUUUGAGAGCACUCAGUUCGAUUGAGAAAACAGAGAUUUCGCUUUAGAAAAUGCGCGUCUCGCUCGCGGCAAGAACGUAUCGCCGAUGUGCAAGACAAAAAAACGUUAUUAUUUUAUGCAUCUGAUUGUCUGCGAAAAAAUUAUCUGAAUGGAUUGAUUGAAAAAAAACUUCUGUUUGCAUAAUUUAUUAUUGAUUUAUAUUUUCAGAUGUGCUGUGCCUCAAUUAUUUUAAAUUGGAAGAAAAUCAUAUUAAUAUUCUAAGAAUUUGCGUAUUCUCUAGAAAUGUUAAAUCGAAUUUAAAUUUCUGAAAAGUAAAUAAAUUCUGAUGACAAGAUUGAAACAUAUAAUAUUUCUGUUCCUCUAAAAGAAAGAAACGUAAAAGCAGGAACGCAGUUGCAUUACAUUAAAAUUUAUCCUUUAUCUUUAUGUUUUUAUAUUAUUGUGCUCUAUAUUAUGAAACAUUUUCAUUUAUAAAUCCGCAGAAUCUUUAUUCUCUCUAUUUCUCAUUUAAUAAUCUGUUUUAUUACAGUUAUAUUUUCUCAGGACGUUUACAAAAAAGUGUUAAAAAGGUCGAUUAAAUAUAUGUACAUCUCUAUCAAUGCGCAUUUACAUUUUUGUUUCAAUGUUCUAAGGUAUUAUAGGGUAAUAAAAUUUCAAAGGGCUGAAACCUAUGUUCGACGAUCCCUACCCGUUUACGCCCACGUGUCUCGUCGUUGUGGUCACAUGUAGACAAUGAUCCCACAUCCAUUAAAAAAAGAAAGAUCGAAAACCGAGCGAGCAAUCUCACCGAAACUCAUGUGGGAGUAUCCCUUUCCGAGGCGCGUAGGGAGUCUCGUAUUACGUAUCCCUUUGUAUGCGUAUGUAAAUCUAUCGGCAAAGGCGUAGAACGGGCGAAAGGGAAGAAAGUGAGAAGAAAGUACGUAUCACCUCGAAAGCUCACGCCCGACGCUCGUAAAACGCUGCAACCUCCUCGUCUUUACUCGUAUUUUCGAAUAAUCCAAUAUUUACGAGUAAAACUUCUCUUCCGAGUGUACUUCUGCGGCCUCGCCAUAACUCCGUUUCUUGCAAAUUUCUCAUUUCCCUGUUAUUAAUUUAUUGCAAUUUAUAUGUAACACUUUUGUUCACUUAGGAAAUGAAAUUAGCGGCAAAUUUAUUUACAUGAAAAUAGAGUCGUGAUAAUUGCGCCGUGAUGAAUGUUACAUUAUAACGAAACGCAAAUGGGAAUAAUGCCAUGUUUUUGCAGCUUUUAGCGACGUUUACGAGCGCGUUAAAAAAUUCUAUAAGUAUGUUAAUUAGCUGUAGUUACGUCCGAAAUGAAGCACACUCUCGUCCAGCAAGAAUAUCAAAAAACAUAAUAUAUGUAAUAUAUUUUUAGAUAUUUUUACUGACAGCAAAUGUAAUUAUGCGUUGGAUAAUAAUGUUUUAUUGUUGUCAGAUACAAUCUCGACGCCACUGCGUUGAAAAAAAAAUAAAUACAUAUAUAUGUGUGCUACAUACGCGUAAAAUUCGGUAUAUGCGUUCGAAAUGCGAACGGUACCCACCCAUAUCCCCCUUUGAAAAUUUCGUAGCCGUAUAUCGUAACAAAUGAUUCUUUAUUGGUCAAACCUCUUUCUCGUGCAAAUUUAUGCCCAUUUUUUAUUCAUCGCUUUUCUUCGCCUUACUCAACUGAAACGAUCGUCCUCCUCAAUACUUCGUAUUUUUAUUAUGGCUAAAUGAUAGGUUUCUUGCGUAUUAGGGAACACACACAUCGCGAUUCCAUCCUUUAAUACUUGCAGUGCAGUCAUAGAACGUAAAGUGCAUGAAAGUAUUCAGUCACAUCAUCGUCACGCAAGUGACAGUGUCAUAAUCGCGUUUAUUUAUGAAACAUUCUUUUCUUAACAUAAAAA